AUUUUGUUAUUUUUAAAAAUGUUAUGGCAAUUUUAAGUAAAAAAAAUUGAAAAAAUUUCGAAAAUUAGCGAUUUUUAAAUUCGUAAUUUUUUUGGAGGUUUCCCCCAUUUACGGGGAACGAGGGAAUUUUUUUCAAUUUUGAAGGGUAAUGUCUUCGACUAGAUACAAUUUGUGAUCUUUUGACGUAUCAUUGAAAGAAAUCGGUUCGGUGAGAGCUGAGAAAAAGUGGUAACAGACACAAAAAAAAAAAAAAAACACAUCUUAGUAAAACCAAUACCUU